GUGCCAGCAGCCGCGGUAACACCGGCAGCCCAAGUGAUGGCCGAUAUUAUUGGGCCUAAAGCGUCCGUAGCUGGCCGCACAAGUCCGUCGGGAAAUCCACUCGCUUAACGAGUGGGCGUCCGGCGGAAACUGUGCGGCUUGGGACCGGAAGAUCCAAGGGGUACGUCCAGGGUAGGAGUGAAAUCCUGUAAUCCUGGACGGACCGCCGAUGGCGAAAGCACGUCGGGAAGACGGAUCCGACAGUGAGGGACGAAAGCCAGGGUCUCCAACCGGAUUAGAUACCCGGGUAGUCC
rnacentral:rRNA from 1 species